rnacentral:rRNA from 1 species
AUUGAACGCUGGCGGCAGGCCUAACACAUGCAAGUCGAACGAGUGGCGGACGGGUGAGUAAUGUCUGGAAACUGCCUGAUGGAGGGGGAUAACUACUGGAAACGGUCGCUAAUACCGCAUACCCUCACAUUGGACCAGUGGGGAUUAGGCUGUUGGGGGGGUAACGGCUCACCAAGGCGACGAUCCCUAGCUGGUCUGAGAGGAUGACCAGCCAAACUGAAAGUGAGACACGGUCCAGACGCCUACGGGAGGCAGCAGUGGGGAAUAUUGCACAAUGGGCGCAAGCCUGAUGCAGCCAUGCCGCGUGUAUGAAGAAGGCCUUCGGGUUGUAAAGUACUUUCAGCGGGGAGGCGUUACCCGCUGAAGAAGCACCGGCUAACUCCGUGCCAGCAGCCGCGGUAAUUC